GACGAACGCUGGCGGCGUGCUUAACACAUGCAAGUCGAACGGAAAGGCCCUGCUUUUGUUGGUUGCUCGAUUGGCGAACGGGUGAGUAACACGUGAGUAACCUGCCCUUGACUUUGGGAUAACUUCAGGAAACUGGGGCUAAUACCGGAUAUGAGCUCCUGCUGCAUGGUGGGGGUUGGAAAGUUUCGGCGGUUGGGGAUGGACUCGCGGCUUAUCAGCUUGUUGGUGGGGUAGUGGCUUACCAAGGCUUAGACGGGUAGCCGGCCUGAGAGGGUGACCGGCGACAUGAGGACUGAGAUACGGACCAGAAUCCUACGGGAGGCAGCAGGGGGGAAUAUUGCACAAUGGGCGGAAGCCUGAUGCAGCAACGCCGCGUGCGGGAUGACGGCCUUCGGGUUGUAAACCGCUUUCGCAUGUGACGAAGCGUGAGUGACGGUAAUGGGUAAAGAAGCACCGGCUAACUACGUG
rnacentral:rRNA from 1 species